AUGUACAUGGCUUAAGCAAGGAUAUACCCCCACUAUAUAUGAGUUUUGUAGAAUUAGAAUGCUUAACUUAUAUAGUUGGCAGUCGAUUGAAAUUGGAUUGCUUAGUUUAAUGAGAUGACGGUCGAUUGAAUUUGAUUUGUUUAGUUUAACGACUUGAUGGUUAAGAAUGAGAUUGAUUUGAUUUUUUCUCGGUUUAAUGACUUUGUGGUCACGUUGAGUAGAGUUUGAUUUGAUUUGCUUAGUUAACAAAUUGAUGGCCAAAUCGAAAUGAGUUUGGUUUGCUUGAUUUGUCCCCUUUGAAUUUGGUUCGGGUCGAACCUUUAUGUUUUGGUU
rnacentral:lncRNA from 1 species